AUGAACGCUGGCGGCGUGCCUAAUACAUGCAAGUCGAGCGAACAGACGAGGAGCUUGCUCCUCUGACGUUAGCGGCGGACGGGUGAGUAACACGUGGAUAACCUACCUAUAAGACUGGGAUAACUUCGGGAAACCGGAGCUAAUACCGGAUAAUAUAUUGAACCGCAUGGUUCAAUAGUGAAAGACGGUUUUGCUGUCACUUAUAGAUGGAUCCGCGCCGCAUUAGCUAGUUGGUAAGGUAACGGCUUACCAAGGCAACGAUGCGUAGCCGACCUGAGAGGGUGAUCGGCCACACUGGAACUGAGACACGGUCCAGACUCCUACGGGAGGCAGCAGUAGGGAAUCUCCCGCAAAGGGCGAAAGCCUGACGGAGCAACGCCGCGUGAGUGAUGAAGGUCUUCGGAUCGUAAAACUCUGUUAUUAGGGAAGAACAAAUGUGUAAGUAACUAUGCACGUCUUGACGGUACCUAAUCAGAAAGCCACGGCUAACUACGUG
rnacentral:rRNA from 1 species